rnacentral:rRNA from 1 species
UUAAAAAGCUCGUAGUUGGAUUUCUGCGGGGGCGGGGCGGCCGAACGCUUAUAGCGUUUCGAGCUAGCACUUCCCCUGCAUCCUGCCGCGAACCGUGCUACCAUUAGUUUGGUGGCGCCGGGGAUCGGCUCGUUUACUUUGAGAAAAAUAGAGUGUUCAAAGCAGGCCACACGCCUUGAAUAAGUAAGCAUGGAAUAAUGAUAAAGGACUUCGGUUCUAUUUUGUUGGUGUUCGGGACUGAAGUAAUGAUUGAUAGGGACAGUUGGGGCG